rnacentral:rRNA from 1 species
AUUGAACGCUGGCGGCAUGCUUUACACAUGCAAGUCGAACGGUAACAGGUUAAGCUGACGAGUGGCGAACGGGUGAGUAAUGCAUCGGAACGUGCCCGAUCGUGGGGGAUAACGCAGCGAAAGCUGCGCUAAUACCGCAUACGUUCUGAGGAUGAAAGCGGGGGACCGUAAGGCCUCGCGCGAUCGGAGCGGCCGAUGUCAGAUUAGGUAGUUGGUGGGGUAAAGGCUCACCAAGCCAACGAUCUGUAGCUGGUCUGAGAGGACGACCAGCCACACUGGGACUGAGACACGGCCCAGACUCCUACGGGAGGCAGCAGUGGGUAAUUUUGGACAAUGCGCGAAAGCCUGAUCCAGCAAUGCCGCGUGCAGGAAGAAGGCCUUCGGGUUGUAAACUGCUUUUGUACGGAGCGAAAAGGCUCUCUCUAAUACAGGGGGCUCAUGACGGUACCGUAAGAAUAAGCACCGGCUAACUACGUGCCAGCCGCCGCCGUAA